rnacentral:rRNA from 1 species
UACGGGGGGGCAAGCGUUGUUCGGAAUUACUGGGCGUAAAGCGCGCGUAGGCGGCUUUGCAAGUCGGGUGUGAAAUCCCCAGGCUCAACCUGGGAACUGCAUUCGAGACUGCAUUGCUAGAGUAUGGGAGAGGGAAGUGGAAUUUCCGGUGUAGCGGUGAAAUGCGUAGAUAUCGGAAGGAACAUCAGUGGCGAAAGCGACUUCCUGGACCAAUACUGACGCUCAUGUGCGAAAGCGUGGGGAGCAAACAGG